AACACUUCGAGACUAUUUUUAUAAAAGAAUAAAUUAAGGAAAAUGCCAAAAGAACAUAAUGGUUGACACAAAGGAUGUCACCACACUCACAGUCGAUGUGUGGGUUCCGCGCGAAUAAAAUAAUCUCGACCUCCCACGUGAGUGUAUUGUGUCAACCAAUGUGUCAAACUUUGUGGUAAUGUCGCAUGAUUGAUAAAUUAAUGAAAAUGAAAAAGACCUCGGGGCGUUAUAUCUUGGACACAAGACUCGUUGACAACGAAUUAUUUACUUCUAAAGAAAAUAGUAUAUACAAGUCAUCUGUUUGUUCAGCUCGGUGAAGUUAAGUCGCGUUAGUUGAACGACUAUACCAACACCAGGAAGUAGGAACACUUUCCAGCACAAGACUAUAAGUUGAUUGUGCAUUACCAACAUUUGUCAUUGUCCUUGAAUCCUCCCAAGCAGCCCUUCCAAGUUCAAUAGAAAAUGUGGGAUAAUUCAACAGAGCUACUGGUGAACCUGUAAAUUCUGAUCCAUGGCAGUUUAUAGAACGCUGCAUAAUGACAAAUAUCUGUGUUAUGUGCUAUGAUGCUUGGAAUUUUCAAAAAUUUCUGAUGGUCGUCGCAACAGAUCCUUUUUCUUCGUCAUUUUCACCUUCUUUAUCCUCGUCCCCAAAGUGUAGAAUUGAGAUCCAAAAGCAGAGAGACCAAAAAGCAUAGCACGAAGAGAGAGAGAGACUUUACAGUGGAUAUAUUUUGGGAAAGUAAUGGAAACAAGUCUUUUUUGGGGUAAACAAUAUUGAACCAGUUAUAAACAAAUCUAAUGUGAAAAAAUGAACAGUGCAGUGCCAUCCUCUCUUUUAAGGGAGUGUAGGAUAUAUAAAUUAAAAUGAAAAUCAAUUUGGGGAUGAGGAAAAAUGACAAAAUUAAGGAGGAGAUGAGCAAAGCAAGUUGAACGGUUUCAACAAAUCUCACUAAAAUGACCAGAUUACACAGAUUCUCGGUGCAUCACACAUGGGUUGUACAUAUACAUACACCCUUUGAAUACAAAGCAAAAGUCCCAUAUCAUCAAUUUUAUAACAUAAGCAUUUUUAAUUAACUAACACAAUUUAUUUAAAAGCACAAUUUAAUUAACUAGCCGGCAGAGGUCAAUUUGUGUAGUGGCUCUAAGUUGUGUAAUCUGUGACGAAACCACAGGGCUGAUCCUAAGAAGACGACUAAUAAAGCAACAUAUGAUAAACUAAUGAAUUUUUAAGAUGGCUGAUUAAACAUAAUCAUCAAUUAAACUAUGUUGUUUAUUCUCUACAAAAUUCCAUUUUCACCAAAUAAUACUAAUUGUGAAACUUUUACUUGUAAAAUUCAAAAUUUAAGAAUAACAAAUCUAAAUUCUUAAAUAAUAGAAACAUUUUACCCAAGAACAAAUAAAAAUUAACGAGCACAAACUUAGGUUUGCAGUUGCAGUGCAGCAUAAUUUAGUUAAUUUCAUAUUUCAUAGAAUAGGGACGAUCGAAUGGAGGGCCAGGGACCAAAUUGAAUAUCUGAACAAGAUUUUUUGAGAUAUUAAAAAUAAAAUAAAACUUAAAAAUUCUAACAUACCUUCACCUUGGGACAAUGGAGAAGAGACGAAGAGGAGAUGAUUAGUAAUGGGACUUUCAUUUAUGGGUUGGACUUGGAGAUUGAGGAAAAUUGGAUUUACCCCCGUGGUUAGAACAGAUGAUGGUAAGGAGAUGGAUUAGGUUUUGGGACUGGGAUUGGGAAUUUGGACCAAGACAUUUAGUUCCCGUUUGGCCCCUCAUUUUUUUU
rnacentral:lncRNA from 1 species